rnacentral:rRNA from 1 species
AUUGAACGCUGGCGGCAGGCCUAACACAUGCAAGUCGCACGAGUGGCGGACGGGUGAGUAAUGUCUGGGAAACUGCCUGAUGGAGGGGGAUAACUACUGGAAACGGUAGCUAAUACCGCAUACCAUCGGAUGUGCCCAGAUGGGAUGAGCUAGUAGGUGGGGUAAAGGCUCACCUAGGAGAAGAUCCCUAGCUGGUCUGAGAGGAUGACAGGCCACCCUGGAUCUGAGACACGGUCCAUACGCCUACGGGAGCCAGCAGUGGGGAAUAUGGCCCAAUGGGCGCAAGCCUAAUGCAGCCAUGCCGCGUGUAUGAAGAAGGCCUUCGGGUUGUAAAGUACUUUCAGCGGGGAGGCGUUGCCCGCAGAAGAAGCACCGGCAAACUCCGUACCAACAGCCGGGUAAUUC